AGCAAUAAUAGCUUAAAAAGAGCAUUGGUCUUGUAAGCCAAAGGUGAAAUUUAUAUUUUCUUAUUGUUG
rnacentral:tRNA from 1 species